UACGGGGGGGAGCAAGCGUUGUUCGGAGUUACUGGGCGUAAAGGGCGUGUAGGCGGCUGGGUAAGGGUGGGGUGAAAUCUCCCGGCUCAACUGGGAGGGGACCUUGCCGACUGCCUGGCUUGAGGCUGGUAGGGGCACAUGGAAUUCCCGGUGUAGUGGUGAAAUGCGCAGAUAUCAGGAGGAACACCGGUGGCGAAGGCGGUUCUCUGGGCAUUACCUGACGCUGAGGAGCGAAAGUGUGGGGAGCGAACAGG
rnacentral:rRNA from 1 species